rnacentral:lncRNA from 1 species
UUAGAUUAAUUUAGGCAAUUUUUCAACGUAGUAAGUUAGGACUGAUUUAGGCAACGAAAAUAUAGUGAAGGAACAAAAAAUUAAAGUGAACAAAAGGCACAAUAUACAGGAAACUCUUUUCCCAACUUUGUGUUUAACUCGAGAAUACAAAGAAAGCUCAAACUCAAAGUAUAUCCACGUACAAAUGAAGAUCACUCUUGACCCUCACAAGACUACUCUUAGCUUUAGGUUGUUUUCACUCUUGAAAACGGAUUUAGGACUUCUAACCCAAUACUGUGUCUCACAUGUUUUUCUCUCUUGCUCCAAAGGGAAAGGGUGUUGCACAUUUAUGAUAACAUGAACCAGCCCCAUUUACACAAUAGUUGCCUAUUUUUAGGCUUAUGCACUUGCCU